UAAGAGCAUUGGAGCCCUGGGUGGAAAGAAGGAAGAAAUUAAUAGUGCAGAGGAGAGAGGGAGUGCGCGGUGACUGGAACACAUGCCCCCAAGCCUUACUGAAAACAUUAUUAGUUACAUGUCAGAAAGGCUGAUUUUAAGAGAGGAGACGUUUUCCAAUGAGAGCUUCAUCAUUUAUUAACCAUAAUACAAACCAUAUUUAUAAAGCUGAAUGAAUAGACAUGCACGGCACAGAUGGCUGCAGUAUGCGCCCUACAUCCACGAGGACUCAAGUCCAAGUUGACCAGUGAAGAACGAGCAUACCACAUUGUUAUUCCUCCGCUUGCUAAGAAGUUACUGAGAGCGCAAGUUCCUCCAGCUGCACUGAGUUAUACCAGUACGCAAGUCCCCUGCUACGGGAGCCCGGACCCCGUUGAGGAUAAGAGUUGGGAGUGAAGGGCAUCUAUUGAAGAUGAAAGUGAAGACGACGCAGAACACAUGCAUGGCAUGAUGGAAAGUGGUGCGAGAUAUAAUAUUAGUACAAUAUUAUAAAUGGCAAAUAAGCUCCAUCAAACGUCAACUGUGAAAUAGAAUUUUAAUGCAUUUCAUGGUCCAUUUAUCGAGCUCACCCUGCUGAGAAAAAGAGCAUUGUUAGAAAACGGCAUCAAGAUCCAUGAACAGAACUUUAGCAGAGAUGCAUUUGGAACCCUAUCCCCAAUUUAUCUGGGAAAGAGGUAAAGACAUCAUAAAAUAUAUGAAGUAGAUAAGACACUAUGUUAAGUCUAUUGUUGUACAUUAAGUUCAGGGUAUUUUAAAUUAACAGAGUGGGGGAUGUCCUCUGUUCAGGACCCACAUUCCUACCUAGAAUGUCUAUCAGACUGGAGGUUGUACAUAUUAUGGAUAUUACAUGAAUAGCCCAUUUGUUCCAAUAAAUGUUACGUAGUACUUAAUAUUUCCUCUGGGGGUGCUGCAGGGAAAAUGAACCCUUGCCUAGUUUCCAAAUACAUUUCAGCUGCUUUCUGGGGGCACCAGCAGUGGACACCCUGUGAUGUACUUAUUAUUAGGGAACCUUUAUAGCAAAAUGGGAUUGUUCACAGCAUAAAACCCCAUUUGAAGGUGAAGGGGGUGGGGUUUAAAGGUAUAUUUCCAAUGGAUGUUUCCAAUGUGGUGAGACGAAGCCAUUCCUUAGGCACAGGAAUUACUCCACUGCCCAUUUACAAGAAGAUACGCCUAACGAACAUCUAUAGCAUGGUCCAUUGAGUUUUUGGGUGACUACCUCACUGGACCCCUCUGUACAUCAGUUAUCCUAUGGAUCGGCCUAUCUUGUAAUAACCCCUUAUAUUGAUCACACAGCAAUGUUGUCAU